rnacentral:rRNA from 1 species
UAAUGUUUGAUGUUCUAACGUUGGCCCCUAAUCGGGGUUGCGGACAGUGUCUGGUGGGUAGUUUGACUGGGGCGGUCUCCUCCUAAAGAGUAACGGAGGAGCACGAAGGUUGGCUAAUCCUGGUCGGACAUCAGGAGGUUAGUGCAAUGGCAUAAGCCAGCUUGACUGCGAGCGUGACGGCGCGAGCAGGUGCGAAAGCAGGUCAUAGUGAUCCGGUGGUUCUGAAUGGAAGGGCCAUCGCUCAACGGAUAAAAGGUACUCCGGGGAUAACAGGCUGAUACCGCCCAAGAGUUCAUAUCGACGGCGGUGUUUGGCACCUCGAUGUCGGCUCAUCACAUCCUGGGGCUGAAGUAGGUCCCAAGGGUAUGGCUGUUCGCCAUUUAAAGUGGUACGCGAGCUGGGUUUAGAACGUCGUGAGACAGUUCGGUCCCUAUCUGCCGUGGGCGCUGGAGAACUGAGGGGGGCUGCUCCUAGUACGAGAGGACCGGAGUGGACGCAUCACUGGUGUUCGGGUUGUCAUGCCAAUGGCACUGCCCGGUAGCUAAAUGCGGAAGAGAUAAGUGCUGAAAGCAUCUAAGCACGAAACUUGCCCCG